rnacentral:hammerhead_ribozyme from 1 species
AUCCAGCUGACAAGUCCCAAAUAGGACGAAAUGAGCACCCUGGAU